GCCCUCUUAGCUCAAUGGUAGAGCGCGUCACUAGUAAUGACGAGGUUAUUGGUUCGAUUCCAAUAGAGGGCA